UUUUGGAGAUGAUGAUUCUUAUCAGAGGCUGUUUCUGAGGUGAGCCAAGAGCUCUCUGAGUGCUGCAAAAAACUGAUUUGCCGUUCUGAUCAAAAG
rnacentral:snoRNA from 1 species